AACAGGAUUAGAUACCCUGGUAGUCCACGCCGUAAACGAUGAGUGCUAAGUGUUAGGGGGUUUCCGCCCCUUAGUGCUGCAGCUAACGCAUUAAGCACUCCGCCUGGGGAGUACGACCGCAAGGUUGAAACUCAAAGGAAUUGACGGGGGCCCGCACAAGCGGUGGAGCAUGUGGUUUAAUUCGAAGCAACGCGAAGAACCUUACCAGGUCUUGACAUCCCACUGACCGGCUUAGAGAUAGGCUUUUCCCUUCGGGGACAGUGGUGACAGGUGGUGCAUGGUUGUCGUCAGCUCGUGUCGUGAGAUGUUGGGUUAAGUCCCGCAACGAGCGCAACCCUUGAUCUUAGUUGCCAGCAUUCAGUUGGGCACUCUAAGGUGACUGCCGGUGAUAAACCGGAGGAAGGUGGGGAUGACGUCAAAUCAUCAUGCCCCUUAUGACCUGGGCUACACACGUGCUACAAUGGACGAUACAAAGGGCUGCAAACCCGCGAGGGGGAGCCAAUCCCAUAAAAUCGUUCUCAGUUCGGAUUGUAGGCUGCAACUCGCCUACAUGAAGCCGGAAUCGCUAGUAAUCGUGGAUCAGCAUGCCACGGUGAAUACGUUCCCGGGCCUUGUACACACCGCCCGUCACACCACGAGAGUUUGUAACACCCGAAGUCGGUGAGGUAACCUUUACAGGAGCCAGCCGCCGAAGGUGGGACAGAUGAUUGGGGUGAAGUCGUAACAAGGUAACC
rnacentral:rRNA from 1 species